ACUGAUCCAAAGGAGGUCACGUGGGAUCUUGCGAAAUUAACAGCAAUGAAAAUGGCGAAACGAAACUUGUGAAUCGUGCAUUUGCUCUUCAUGGUAGCUGCCAGAAAAUCGAAUCAAACUUACGGGACACUGGAUUACAGGUUGCUGCCACUACUCCAUGUGCCCGCAAUUGUCUUGCGUGUAUGAUUACACUUAUGGCGUCGCCCACCACGGCGGAAGUGUUUUGCGUACACGCGUUUCAGCAUGAAGCCUGCAGGUGGACGUAAAUUGUAGAAGGCAGCUAGUGGGGGAGAAGAUCAUGGUCAUAGGUCAUGUGACUCCUGGAGCUCCCAGUGGGCUCCCUUGUGGAGUACUUUUCAGAACACACACACACACACAGUUUGCUCACAGAACCAACGAGUAGGAUGUUGCUUGAAUACUGAGAGAAAAUGGCGUAACACAUACAAAUAUCGUGUGACACAUAUGACAAUAAAAACAUUUUUCACGAGGGA